UACGAGGGGUCCUAGCGUUGUUCGGAAUUAUUGGGCGUAAAGCGGGUGUAGGCGGCUAGAUAAGUCAGAUGUGAAAGCCCUGGGCUCAACCUAGGAAGCGCAUUUGAUACUAUUUGGCUUGAGUACGGGAGAGGGUAGUGGAAUUCCUGGUGUAGUGGUGAAAUACGUAGAUAUCAGGAGGAACAUCGGUGGCGAAGGCGGCUACCUGGCCCAGUACUGACGCUCAGACCCGAAAGCGUGGGGAGCAAACAGG
rnacentral:misc_RNA from 1 species